rnacentral:rRNA from 1 species
UGGGGAAUAUUGCACAAUGGGCGCAAGCCUGAUGCAGCCAUGCCGCGUGUAUGAAGAAGGCCUUCGGGUUGUAAAGUACUUUCAGCGGGGAGGAAGGGAGUAAAGUUAAUACCUUUGCUCAUUGACGUUACCCGCAGAAGAAACACCGGCUAACUCCGUGCCAGCAGCCGCGGUAAUACGGAGGGUGCAAGCGUUAAUCGGAAUUACUGGGCGUAAAGCGCACGCAGGCGGUUUGUUAAGUCAGAUGUGAAAUCCUCGGGCUUAACCCGGGAAUUGCAUCUGAUACUGGUCAGCUAGAGUCUUGUAGAGGGGGGUAGAAUUCCAUGUGUAGCGGUGAAAUGCGUAGAGAUGUGGAGGAAUACCGGUGGCGAAGGCGGCCCCCUGGACAAAGACUGACGCUCAGGUGCGAAAGCGUGGGGAGCAAACAGG